GUCUUUUUGAAUUAAAUUUAAAGUCUGACCUGCCCACUGAAAAUUUUAAAUGGCCGCAGUAUUCUAACUGUGCAAAGGUAGCAUAAUCAUUAGUCUUUUAAUUGAAGGCUGGAAUGAAUGGUUGGACGAAAUAUUAACUGUUUCAUUUAAAUUUUUUAUAAAAUUUUAUUUUUUAGUCAAAAAGCUAAAAUAAAUUUAAAAGACGAGAAGACCCUAUAAAUCUUUAUAUUUUGUUUAUUUUAAUUAUAAAGAUUAUUUUUAUUAUAAUAAAUUAAAAUAUUUUAUUGGGGUGAUAUUAAAAUUUAAAAAACUUUUAAUUUUUAAAACCAUUAAUUUAUGAAUAAUUGAUCCAUUAAUAAUGAUUAAAAAUUUAAGUUACUUUAGGGAUAACAGCGUAAUUUUUUUGGAGAGUUCAUAUCGAUAAAAAAGAUUGCGACCUCGAUGUUGGAUUAAGAUAUAAUUUUGGGUGUAGCCGUUCAAAUUUUAAGUCUGUUCGACUUUUAAAUUCUU
rnacentral:rRNA from 1 species